rnacentral:snRNA from 1 species
UGGAUUUUAGCUCUUUAAGUAUUUCUCCAACAGGUUUUCUUGUAUGAGAAAGCCUAA